rnacentral:rRNA from 1 species
GACGUAGGGCGCGAGCGUUGUCCGGAUUUAUUGGGCGUAAAGAGCUCGUAGGCGGCUUGUCGCGUCGAUCGUGAAAACUUGGGGCUCAACCCCAAGCCUGCGGUCGAUACGGGCAGGCUCGAGUUCGGUAGGGGAGACUGGAAUUCCUGGUGUAGCGGUGAAAUGCGCAGAUAUCAGGAGGAACACCGGUGGCGAAGGCGGGUCUCUGGGCCGAUACUGACGCUGAGGAGCGAAAGCGUGGGGAGCGAACGGG